UACAUUGUACAGUAUGACGUAGUGGCAGGACAAAAUUGUUGAGGUCAAGUCAGUCUCUCCGGACAAUAUGCUAUUCGUUGUUGUUUGUUUGUACGCAGUACAUGUAUUAAGAUGACUUGGAGGCAAACUGAAAUUGGAAAAAGUAAUCAGAAAAAAAGAGUAACCACUUGUUUCCUUUGAAGAUCAACACACACAAGGUGUCAGACAAUUUAUAACCAUAUAUUGAGAUAGUUUUAGACCUAUGCAUGAAAAGAAAGUGAAAUGAAUGUUUUAAAGAUAAAAGCUUGAGAACAUAUAACUAAACUAUAACAGUGCUUAAUAUGAAAUAACCCAUGCCAUGUCACAUGUGACUUUUGGAAUGAAGCAAUUUUCAGUAUGACAACAAAAGGAAGAAUUACAUGACUGUUCAAACUGACUCUGGAUCAUUGAUGACAAAGAAAAGUAUUAAAUCAAAGGAAAUGACUGUGCACUUCUUUCUUGUGAGAUCAACACAUAAAAGGAAAUGUUCACAUCAUUAUUCAUAAUAUGCCAGUUAUUGAGAAAAUUUUGAAUCUAUACACAAACAGUGAAAUAAGUGAGAAUCAUAAUUCAAACAUCACAUUUGGAAGGCUGGUAACUGCAUGUGCUAACUGGUAUAUAUUGUAAUUCACAAUAUAUUACAUGUGUAUAGGAAUAUUCGUUGCAUGUGACAUGUCAAAAGGACUUGAGUAUCAUUCAUUUAUAAAGAUGGCAUUGGCACCCCGUUUAUAUUUAUUGAUCUCUUUAAAACUUGGCAUAUUUAUUUUUGGAAAGCUCAUAAAUACCAAGAUUGCUGUUUCUUGUUUUUAAAAUGAACAUAACACUUUUAAAAUUGACAAAGAAGUUGGAUUUUGGUGUAGGCAUGGUUAGAUUGUAUGUCACUUCUGUUAAUUUUUAUUAGAAAAGGCCAUAUUUAAAAAAAGAAACAGCUGUUACAGGAAAGAUAACAUCUUUAUCCACCAAAUACAAAGUUUGGAUGAUUUAAGGGUGUUCAAAUUUAUUUCUGGGUAUGAAAGUUUUUGACGAAAAUUAAAAAUAAUUUCAAAUUUUA